GACGAACGCUGGCGGCGUGCUUAACACAUGCAAGUCGAACGAAGAGCGAUGGAAGCUUGCUUCUAUCAAUCUUAGUGGCGAACGGGUGAGUAACGCGUAAUCAACCUGCCCUUCAGAGGGGGACAACAGUUGGAAACGACUGCUAAUACCGCAUACGAUCUAAUCUCGGCAUCGAGGAUAGAUGAAAGGUGGCCUCUACAUGUAAGCUAUCACUGAAGGAGGGGAUUGCGUCUGAUUAGCUAGUUGGAGGGGUAACAGCCCACCAAGGCGAUGAUCAGUAGCCGGUCUGAGAGGAUGAACGGCCACAUUGGGACUGAGACACGGCCCAGACUCCUACGGGAGGCAGCAGUGGGGAAUCUUCCGCAAUGGACGAAAGUCUGACGGAGCAACGCCGCGUGAGUGAUGACGGCCUUCGGGUUGUAAAGCUCUGUUAAUCGGGACGAAAGGCCUUCUUGCGAAUAGUGAGAAGGAUUGACGGUACCGGAAUAGAAAGCCACGGCUAACUACGUG
rnacentral:rRNA from 1 species